rnacentral:rRNA from 1 species
GACGAAGGGGGCGAGCGUUACCCGGAAUGACUGGGCGUAAAGGGUUCGUAGACGGCUUUUUUUGUAAAAGGUUAAAUCAGGGAGCUCAACUUCCAUGUGCCUUUUAAACGUUCAAGCUAUGAGUAGGAUAGGAGAUAGCAGUAUUUCACAUGUAGGGGUGAUAUCCAUAGAAAUGUGAAGGACUCCCAGAGGCGAAGGCGGCUAUCUAGCUCCGUACUAACGUUGAGGAACGAAAGCAUGGGUAUCAAACAGG